rnacentral:misc_RNA from 1 species
GAAAAUUUUCCUUUCUAUGACUGAUCAUCGAGUGUUGAAGAGAAGCAAAAGGGUAAACUUCUGCAAGUGACCAAUAUGAUAGUACAUUUUGCAGUGAUGCAACAGAACAAGACAGCAAAAUUCUUGUGAAUUCAGCAAUAUAUACAAUUCACCAGAGUCUUGAUAUGGUACUUUUUGCUCGAUGAAAGGGGGAUAUUGAUGAGAAGAGAUGAUGCCGGGAUGACUUGUUAUUUUUAGUUCUUUGGUCAGGCCUUGAGCUUCUUGGCCUUGGAGAUUGGAGAAUCAAAACUUAAAAGCUCUCUUAGUUGUGUAGAAAUGAAUAACGUUUUUCCAGUCCUUCAAUUGGUCUGGAUUAAGCUCAAGCUUUCAAACCCCAAUUCUCCUUCUUCACUGCCAUUAUAUAAAUCUUUGUUCAAGUAGAGGGCAGCAGUAGAUAUACAAUUCCAGAAGAGAGGGAGGCAGACCAUACUUUGGAAAGGAGACAAGCUUAAGGCAUCUCUCGAUCCUCAGACAUUCAAGUGAGGCAAGGCUUUGAAAACCUGUGUUAGAAAGGUAUUUCAGAUCUUCGAAUCCUUCGACUGUAAGGCUGGUG